rnacentral:rRNA from 1 species
UACGGAGGGUGCGAGCGUUGUCCGGAAUCACUGGGCGUAAAGGGCGCGUAGGCGGCUGGGCAAGUCGGCGGUGAAAGCCCGGAGCUCAACUCCGGGUCGGCCGUCGAGACUCCUCGGCUCGAGCUCACUAGAGGCAGAUGGAAUUCCGGGUGUAGCGGUGGAAUGCGUAGAGAUCCGGAAGAACACCGGUGGCGAAGGCGGUCUGCUGGGGUGAGGCUGACGCUGAUGCGCGACAGCGUGGGGAGCAAACAGG